rnacentral:rRNA from 1 species
AUUGAACGCUAGCGGGAUGCCUCACACAUGCAAGUCGAACGAGUGGUGGACGGGUGAGUAAUAUAUCGGAACGUGCCUAGUAGCGGGGGAUAACUACUCGAAAGAGUGGCUAACACCGCAUACCAUUGGAGCGGCCGAGUUCGGAUUAGCUAGUUGGUGGGGUAAAGGCUUACUAAGGCAACGAUCCGUAGCAGGUUUGAGAGGACGACCAGCCACACUGGGACUGAGACACGGCCCAGACUCCUACGGGAGGCAGCAGUGGGGAAUAUUGGACAAUGGGGGAAAGCCUGAUCCAGCCAUCCCGCGUGUGUGAGAAGGCCUUCGGGUUGUAAAGUACUUUUAGCAGAGAAGCGGUAUCUACAGAAUAAGCACCGGCUAACUACGUGCCAGCAGCCGCGGUAAUUC